CGAUGGGCCCAUACCACCUUGAACGCCACCCGAUCCUCGUCCUGACCUCGGAAGCUAAGGAGGGGUCGGGCCCUGGUUAGUACUUGGG
rnacentral:rRNA from 10 species